GAAGCGGACCGGAUGAUCGCCCGCCGUUCACGCGGGAGGAAAGUCCGAGCUUCACAGGGCAGGACGCUGGGUAACUCCCAGUCUCGGUGACGAGAAGGAAAGUGCCACAGAAAAGAUACCGCCCCGCCGGAGGCGGGGUAAGGGUGAAAUGGUGGGGUAAGAGCCCACCAGUACCCCGGGUGACCGGGGUAGCUUGGUAAACCCCGUCCGAAGCAAGACCAAAUAGGGGGGCGUCAAAGGUGGCCCGCCCCAGGCCCCCGGGUUGGUCGCUGGAGACCCGAAGUAAUCCGGGCCUUAGAGGAAUGAUCAUCGUCCCGGCAGCCGUAAGGAGGCCGGGAAACAGAACUCGGCUUAUGGUCCGCUUUCACC
rnacentral:RNase_P_RNA from 1 species